rnacentral:rRNA from 1 species
GACGAACGCUGGCGGCGUGCCUAAUACAUGCAAGUAGAACGCUGAAGGAGGAUCUUGCUUCUCUGGAUGAGUUGCGAACGGGUGAGUAACGCGUAGGUAACCUGCCUGGUAGCGGGGGAUAACUAUUGGAAACGAUAGCUAAUACCGCAUAAUAGUAGAUGUUGCAUGACAUUUGCUUAAAAGGUGCAAUUGCAUCACUACCAGAUGGACUUGCGUUGUAUUAGCUAGUUGGUGGGGUAACGGCUCACCAAGGCGACGAUACAUAGCCGACCUGAGAGGGUGGUCGGCCACACUGGGACUGGGACACGGCCCAGACUCCUGCGGGAGGCAGCAGUAGGGAAUCUUCGGCAAUGGCCGGAAGUCUGACCGAGCAACGCCGCGUGAGUGAAGAAGGUUUUCGGAUCGUAAAGCUCUGUUGUAAGAGAAGAACGAGUGUGAGAGUGGACAGUUCACACUGUGACGGUAUCUUACCAGAAAGGGACGGCUAACUACGUG